rnacentral:rRNA from 1 species
UACAGAGGUCUCAAGCGUUGUUCGGAUUCAUUGGGCGUAAAGGGUGCGUAGGCGGCGCGGUAAGUCGGGUGUGAAAUCUUGGAGCUUAACUCCGAAACUGCAUUCGAUACUGCCGUGCUUGAGGACUGGAGAGGAGACUGGAAUUUACGGUGUAGCGGUGAAAUGCGUAGAUAUCGUAAGGAAGACCAGUGGCGAAGGCGGGUCUCUGGACAGUUCCUGACGCUGAGGCACGAAAGCGUGGGGAGCAAGCAGG